AUGAAGGCAGAGAUCAGGGUGUUGCUUCUUCAAGUCAAGGAGCAGCACAGUUUGCCAGCAAAACACCAGAAGCUAGAAGAGAGGCAUGAACCAGAUUCUCCCUCACAGCACUCGGAAGGAACCAACCCUGCCAACACCUUGAUCUUGGACUUCUGGUCUCUAGGACGAUGAUCACUCAGACUGCUGUAAGGAAAUGGAGGUAAAAGUGGAAGUGGAUUACUCAGGAAGCGACAAUGAUAAUCCAGAUAAAGGUCAUGUGAUCACAGAGGGAGACAGCAGCUGCCUACAAGCCCAGAGAAGAGGCCUCAGAAUGAAACCUAUCUUGCCAACACUUUGAUCUUGGACUUCUCAGC